GACGAACGCUGGCGGCGUGCUUAACACAUGCAAGUCGAACGGUGAGGGUGGAGCUUGCUCCGCCGGAUCAGUGGCGAACGGGUGAGUAACACGUGGGCAACCUGCCCCUGACUUCGGGAUAACUCCUCGAAAGAGGUGCUAAUACCGGAUACGAAUCCUGCAGGCAUCUGCGGGAUUGAAAAGUUUUUAGGUCAGGGAUGGGCCCGCGGCCUAUCAGCUUGUUGGUGAGGUAGUGGCUCACCAAGGCGACGACGGGUAGCCGGCCUGAGAGGGCGACCGGCCACACUGGGACUGAGACACGGCCCAGACUCCUACGGGAGGCAGCAGUGGGGAAUAUUGCGCAAUGGGCGAAAGCCUGACGCAGCAACGCCGCGUGAGGGAUGACGGCCUUCGGGUUGUAAACCUCUUCCAGCAGGGAAGAAGCGAAAGUGACGGUACCUGCAGAAGAAGCACCGGCUAACUACGUGCCAGCCGCCGCCGUAA
rnacentral:rRNA from 1 species